rnacentral:rRNA from 1 species
UUCGGGGGACAGGGUGACAGGUGGUGCAUGGUUGUCGUCAGCUCGUGUCGUGAGAUGUUGGUUAAGUCCCGCAACGAGCGCAACCCUCGACCUUAGUUGCCAGCAUUCAGUUGGGCACUCUAAGGUGAACUGCCGGCUAAAAGUCGGAGGAAGGUGGGGAUGACGUCAAAUCAUCAUGCCCCUUAUGACCUGGGCUACACACGUGCUACAAUGGGCGGUACAAAGGGUCGCGAACCCGCGAGGGGGAGCCAAUCCCAAAAAGCCGCUCUCAGUUCGGAUUGCAGGCUGCAACUCGCCUGCAUGAAGCCGGAAUCGCUAGUAAUCGCGGAUCAGCAUGCCGCGGUGAAUACGUUCCCGGGCCUU